rnacentral:lncRNA from 1 species
UUUCACCUGGCCAUUGGAAGCCAAUGCCUUUGGAAGAGUGUGCUUCAGAUAGUCUGCAUGCUGCUGGUGCGGUGCUCUGCACAGCUGCAAAUACGCACAUGUUCGGUGUCUGCUUUUGCAUUUCUCUGAUGUUUCUGUAGGAAUAUUCCGCAGCAAUUUCCUACAAUCCUACACUCCUACAGUUUCCUACACUCAUGUGGACAGACUGUUAAGUAUGAAUCUCAGAUGCUAUGAAAAAUUCCCUGGUAUAGCCACCAAAAGGGAAGUAGAGAGGGUAAGAGGUAAGGGAGAAAAGUGAUAUUACAGUUGAAAAAGUUUUUUUCAAUCCUGCAGGCUGCGGGAAAGAUUGUUGUUAAUGGAGCGUUACAGUCUUCUGAGAACAUCCCCUCUCCCCAAAAUAUUUCUUGGAAGUUAUUAAGGGUGUUUGGUAUGUCUUUGCAUUUAGGCUGUACGGCGCUUGUACGGCUGAUUUAGGAACACUGACUCCUGCAUCAGAACAAAAGGACAGACCCUAAACGUUGGUUUAACCCAUUACCCUUUACUUGGCACAGGAGUGAUGCAAGGUAACCAUCUAUAAUGACAUGUCAGAUACAAGUUGUCCUGACCUGAUGAUUUUAAACUGUCUGAUGUUGAUAGCUACUUCUUACCAUUCUUACUGCCUGGCUCCCUGUUUAGUUACUGUUUGGCUGAAAGUAUUUUGACAAUGAUGAUGUAGUAUCAGUUCAUUAACUCCUUUUUUCUCUGUGCUAAGGAGAGCCUGGGAGAGGGGCAAAGUCCAGCAGCUGCCCAGCGUGCGCUGGGGCAGGGCGAUGCACGCUGGGGUGAGCAGGAGAAGGGCCAUCCUGACAUUGCGUGUCUAAUCUAAUCUGGGCCAUAAUCAUUUCCUACUGGCUCAGCUUCAGUCACAUCGUUAGCCUGAUGCUGAAAUUAGAUCCAGCAUGCCAGCGAUGUUCGUUUUCCUACCAUGGCCGUGUCAUCCGGCUGUGCUUCCUGCACGCUGCCUCGGCUCGCA